UACAGAGGUCCCGAGCGUUGUUCGGAUUCAUUGGGCGUAAAGGGUGCGUAGGCGGCGGGGCAAGUCUGAUGUGAAAUCCCGGGGCUCAACCCCGGAACUGCAUUGGAUACUGCCUUGCUUGAGUACUGGAGAGGAGACUGGAAUUUACGGUGUAGCAGUGAAAUGCGUAGAGAUCGUAAGGAAGGCCAGUGGCGAAGGCGAGUCUCUGGACAGUAACUGACGCUGAGGCACGAAGGCCAGGGGAGCGAACGGG
rnacentral:rRNA from 1 species